rnacentral:rRNA from 1 species
UACGAAGGGGGCUAGCGUUGCUCGGAAUUACUGGGCGUAAAGCGCACGUAGGCGGCUUUCUAAGUCGGGGGUGAAAUCCUGGAGCUCAACUCCAGAACUGCCUUCGAUACUGGAGAGCUCGAGUCCGGGAGAGGUGAGUGGAACUGCGAGUGUAGAGGUGAAAUUCGUAGAUAUGCCAUAGAACACCAAUUGCGAAGGCAGCUGGCUAGACCUGGAUUGACGCUGAGGCACGAAAGCGUGGGGAGCGAACAGG